ensembl:lncRNA LINC00879 long intergenic non-protein coding RNA 879
ACUCACCACCAUCCCAUGUACAUGUAUGUUCCAGGAAGGAAGUUUUCCUUCCAACUCCACAACUGAAUUAUAAGGAAUAGUAUCUGUGAGCUUUCUAUAGUCAAUCAAAAAUAUUGGUGUGAUAAGUGGAAAACAUAAAAAUAGAUCUCCUGCCAUCAAGAAGCAAAUAGUAAAACUAGGCAAUGUUAGAUUAAGUGCUACAGGGUGAGGAGUCCAACUUCAGGUCGAAAUGCCAUGUGCGAUAUUUCCGGCCCAAACAUAGGUAGUUAUAAAAGCUUUACUUCGCAGAUCUUAGCAGGGAAAUCUUCCGCUUGCGGGGAAAUGUGCUGGUACACAGCCAGCACAUUUCAGUCUCCGAAGGAGUUGUAGUCAAGGACUCAGCUCUCCCUGCCUGGCCAUGUCCUUAUGCAUAGCUGCAUUUUUAGCCCAAGUGCCUUCAUUUGGAGGUGUCUUUAUUGAGGACUUUAGCAGGGACCUUCCUCAGUCGCCUCUAUUGAGAGCUUAUGGGUAAAAGAAAAGGCAGGGAAACUUGACACUUUUACUCUACUCUAACUCAGCUUUUUUCCACUGUUAGCCCUUUCUUGCUUUCCCUCUGCCCUUCUCCGUGUCCUCCACACCAUCUAGGUCGAUAAAACUAUGGGAUCCUUUUGUUUUAGGCUCCCUCUGCAGUGGAAUUACCCUUAUGUCUUUUCUGUCUAUGCUGAUCCACCUGAUCUUGAACUGGUGCUAUUCCAUGGGGAAAAUUGGAACAUGGGGCAAUUAACACUUUCUCCACUUUAUCCCAUCAACAGGAAAUUGAAAUAUAACCAACUAACUCAGGAGACAUCAUGGAAGAUGUCACACAGUGAAUGAUGAUGAAGCAGAAUUUUUAAAAUGUGUAGGAUUACGAGAAGUGGGGUCAUUUUUCUUUGUGUAUGGUAUUGCUGAUGCAGUUUAAUGCUCCAUUACUUCUAAAUUUUCAUCAUAAGCUAGAUUUUCCAGUUGUGGUUUCUAUAAAGAAAAACAAACAUUCUGAAGACAGUUUUUCCAGAUUUAUUCCAGAUAUCGAUGAUUAACUUUUGAAGCUCCUCUGUUGAUUUGAACAUCCGCUGAAGCUUAUUUUUCACCUCAGAAUAGCAUCAACAUUAUUUGAAAUUCAAUUGUACUUUCUCGUUACAUUAAUAAAUCAUGGAAGUUGAGAAAA